CGUUUUAUUCUUACGUGAUGUCUUCCGAAUCCAGCAUAAUUUCUGGCAAACGGUAGCAUUAACUACAUAGAUCGAAUAAUGUAUGGAUAAAUAACAUGCAUAUUUGGGAAAGAUUAAUCUGGUAUGUUGAAAUAAUUAAAAAUGAAAAACUACACAUGAACUUUUGAUAUAGGAGACUGAGAUAAAUAUCCGGAUAUACACUGAAGAUGACCAAGGAGAAGGUAGUCUAAGGAGUCACAGGAGAAAAGACAGGAAAGAGAACUUUUGAAGAUCUCUGAGAUGAGGCCCAGAUAUGACAACUGUGGUUUCAGCAGUUACAUUAAAGUGUUAGAAACACACAAGUCUCCACAGAGAUUUAAGAAAGACUUUUGUUGCGCUGACUUCAUCCUUUUCCUUUGACAGCCAUCUCUGAAAUUCAGGCCUAGAAAGUGUCUAAAAUACAACACAUUAUUAUUUAUAUUCAUUGUAGAUAUAAUAGAAAUGUGCUUUAAAUUAAUUAAAAUGUGUAAUAUAAUAGCAACUAAUAUACUUCCCUAUAGAUUUUGGAAGUAAUUUAAAAAUGUAAAACCCAACUGGCCCCAAUUGAAAGCACAUGGUUAAGCUGCUGACAUCAAAAGCAGAAAAUGUCAGACAUGGUGGAGAUGAAGAGAAAAUGAUGAGGCUUCCAGGGAUUAGCCAGAUCGGUGAGUUACCUGCAGAGAAAUAGGGGCAGCAAGUGGUACACAGCAACAAGACUUAACAGCGACAGCAAUGACCAGAAAACGUCAAAUUCAUAUUGCUCUAUUUUAGACGUCCUGAUUAUACCCAAAUUAUCCAUCUGGUUUUGGUUAAUACUGAAAUACCAGCACAAGAUCUUUAGAAAAUUAAACAGUAGUUCCCUUUCCUAUUCAAUGUAAGAAAACAUUCAUAAAAUUUGCACUAGAAAAGUAUAUU
rnacentral:lncRNA from 1 species